AUCGCUUCUCAGCCUUUUGGCUAAGAUCAAGUGUAAAAUCCAUGUGCAUAUUAAAAAAGUAUUUUCAAAUAAAAUAAAAUAAAUAAUAAUGCCAUGAUUUUCAGUUCAGAGUCAUGGCAUGCUAGACCUUUU
rnacentral:snRNA from 1 species